rnacentral:ncRNA from 1 species
GACAGAUGCAAAGUUUCCUGACUACCAGGCAGGAACAGAGCGCGCCUCUACCCAUGUCGCAGCGGCUAUGGCUGGAGCAAACAUUGUUUAUGAGUCG